CCUACGGGAGGCAGCAGUAAGGAAUAUUGGUCAAUGGAGGCAACUCUGAACCAGCCAUGCCGCGUGCAGGAAGACUGCCCUAUGGGUUGUAAACUGCUUUUAUACGGGAAUAAACCUUGAUUCGUGAAUCGAGCUGAAUGUACCGUAAGAAUAAGGAUCGGCUAACUCCGUGCCAGCAGCCGCGGUAAUACGGAGGAUCCAAGCGUUAUCCGGAUUUAUUGGGUUUAAAGGGAGCGUAGGCGGCCUAUUAAGUCAGGGGUGAAAGACGGUGGCUCAACCAUCGCAGUGCCUUUGAUACUGGUAGGCUUGAAUGUAAUUGAGGUAGGCGGAAUGUGACAAGUAGCGGUGAAAUGCAUAGAUAUGUCACAGAACACCGAUUGCGAAGGCAGCUUACUAAGCUAUGAUUGACGCUGAGGCUCGAAAGCGUGGGGAUCAAACAGGAUUAGAUACCCUGGUAGUCCACGCCCUAAACGAUGAUAACUCGAUGUUGGCGAUAUACAGUCAGCGUCCAAGCGAAAGCGUUAAGUUAUCCACCUGGGGAGUACGCCCGCAAGGGUGAAACGUUAAAGGAAUUGACGG
rnacentral:rRNA from 1 species